rnacentral:tRNA from 1 species
GCCCUAGUAGCUCAGUUGGCCAGAGCAGCGCUCUUGUAAAGCGAAGGUCCGCGGUUCGAAUCCGUGCUGGGGCAC